UGGGGUGUAGCCAAGUGGUAAGGCAACGGUUUUUGGUACCGUGCACCGCAGGUUCGAAUCCUGCCACCCCAG
rnacentral:tRNA from 1 species